rnacentral:rRNA from 1 species
UACGUAGGUGGCAAGCGUUUGUCCGGAAUUAUUGGGCGUAAAGCGCGCGCAGGCGGUUCUUUUAAGUCUGAUGUGAAAGCCCACGGCUCAACCGUGGAGGGUCAUUGGAAACUGGAGAACUUGAGUACAGAAGAGGAAAGCGGAAUUCCACGUGUAGCGGUGAAAUGCGCAGAUAUCAGGAGGAACACCAAUGGCGAAGGCAGCACUCUGGGACGUGACUGACGCUGAGACGCGAAAGCGUGGGGAGCAAACAGG